UAAUUUCUUGGCAAACUCUUGAGUGUGUG
rnacentral:piRNA from 1 species